UACGAAGGGAGCUAGCGUUGUUCGGAAUCACUGGGCGUAAAGCGCGCGUAGGCGGAUCGCUAAGUCAGGGGUGAAAUCCCAGGGCUCAACCCUGGAACUGCCUUUGAUACUGACGAUCUGGAGAUCGGGAGAGGUUGGUGGAAUUCCGAGUGUAGAGGUGAAAUUCGUAGAUAUUCGGAGGAACACCAGAAGCGAAGGCGGCCAACUGGCCCGAUACUGACGCUGAGGCGCGAAAGCGUGGGGAGCAAACAGG
rnacentral:rRNA from 1 species